CCCACCACUGCAUUUUUAAAUAGCCUAAUUUCCUCGAGAUCUUCGUCUCACCUACUUGGCUACUUCCAUUGAUGGUACUCCGUGAUCCAGAUCCACUCUCUGUUUGACCUCGUCACCAGUACUUCUCUCACAAACCACCUCCAUCGCCUUUCGUCCGCACUCGCUACUCCACCACCGCCUCAGCGCCCCACGCCCCCAGCCCGCGAAAGCGCGGGAUGGCGCCCAAGCGGCCACUCGACGCCACCCUGCCGGAGGAGGAGGCUGCGCUGUGGUUGUCCCGGAUGAAGCGGUCCCGGAGGUUUCGGCUAAAGCGGACGGUGCUCGUCGUGAUGUGGCUCAUGUGCGGGCCCAGCGGGACGGCUAGGAAAAGAAGAGAAAGAAAACGGCCGUGGCGCUGGAUCUCUCAGGUGGUUUGUCCUUGGAUGAGCAUGCUCGACGUAAGUUCGGAGCCACCGUUUGUGCCACUCGAUUAUUUACGAGAAAUUACAGAUGAUUUCUCCGAGGAGCGGAAGCUUGGUAGCGGUUCGUUUGGAGAGGUUUACUUGGGAGUGGAUCAAGAUGGGCAAAAGAUUGCUGUGAAGAGAAUCUAUCAGAUGGCAGGUGUUGAUGAUGGGCAAUUUCAGAAUGAGUUUACAAACCUUGCAAGGCUCAAGCACCGGAAUAUUGUGCGGUUAGUUGGCUAUUGCAACCAUAUUCAGGAAGUACCAGCAAUGUACGAAGGAAAAUUUGUUCUUGCUGAAAAGAUACAUAGGGCGCUCUGCUUAGAGUAUAUGUCUAAUGGAAGCCUUCAAAAGUAUAUUUCUGAUGAAUGUAAUAAAUAUGAUUGGCGCACAGGCUACGGAAUAAUUAAGGGGAUUUGCCAGGGUUUGAAAUGCCUCCACAUUGAAUUAAAGCCACCUAUUUAUCAUUUGGAUUUAAAGCCAGCCAACGUAUUGCUGGAUGAGAACAUGGUUCCCAGACUUGCAGAUUUUGGGAUAUCAAGGCUCUUUGGAGAUGAACGAACACGAGCUACAAAAAGUAUUUUAGGAACGCAAGGGUACUUACCGCCGGAAUACAUACACAACAAUUUGAUCUCAAGUAAGUUUGACAUAUUCAGCCUUGGUGUUGUAAUCAUAAAGAUAAUGUCAGGACGGGCGGGCUACUCCAAAAUUACUGACAUGUCUCCCCAGGAGUUCACUAAUCUUGUACAGGAAAAAUGGACAAACAGGCUACAUGAAACAUCCAGUCUGAUGAAGGCAUAUUCCAAGCAAGUGAAGACAUGUAUUCAAAUAGGUUUAAUGUGUGUGAACGAUGAUCGACAUAAAAGGCCAUCUAUACAGGAUAUUGUCAAUAGACUGAAUGAGACAGAAACUGAGUGUACCUAUGCGGCAAGAAAGGACGGGUCGUUGAUUUACCAGAUUCCAGAGGAUGACUCAAUCACAUUCAUGGGUGCAAGUCUAACUGGCCAACAGAAUGGACACUUCAGCUUCUCGACAACUGAUGCACCUGGUACUUCUUAUCCUGUAGCAGAUGUUGCUGGGACUACCCCAGGUGGAGUUAGUCUGGGAAUCUCUUCACCUAACCAUGUUCCGGUUGACAUGUCCAGUGAGCCUCCUUCAGAUGAAUUUGAUGAGACAGACCAGGGCAUUGCACCAGCUAACAACGGAGAAGUGCCAAAUUCCAACAACCAACCUCAUGGUUAUGAACAUGAUGGUGGCAAGUGGCAACCAGUGAUUAAGCUUGAAGCCACUACAACAUGCUUUCCUCUACCACACUAAACAUGAUGAUGGUGGCAGAUGGUGAUUAAAGUAUUCAGUGUGACUAAAUAUUCAGUUGUACAUAUCCUCUGCUUCUUCUUUGCGGGGGAUUCAAAUGUAUAUAUACAUUAUUAACACCAGGAACCAUUCAUUCCCAUAAAGAAGCGAACCUGGAUGCAGUAAUUGCAAGAGAGAGGCGCACUGUGCAUGAUGGAAAGAUGGCAGGGUCACUUUUUGUCACGUCCCGACGUGCAAAAAGUUUCUGCGUUAUGGCCCACCACCGGCUACAUCACCAGGUCAAGUCAUCAGCUGCUCCUCCUAUGCGGCGGCACGUGCACCAGCUCGCGCAGCUCACUAGUCCAGCUCCAAAGGCCCGAAACAAUUGUGCCAAAUCCAUACGCCUAUGCCACCUAUUCCCUAUUACUAGGAGACCGAACAGUAGGGACCGAAGAGGACAAUUACCAUACAUAACAACAAACAUACGUAUAUGUUAAAUAUUAAACAACAGCACAUGCUUUUGCCACAAAAACAAAGUACAUAAUUUUGUUUGUUUAAAUGAAUGCUGACCAUGUAUUAAAAGAAUGUUAACCUUGCAUCUAAAAAAUGUAAAUCGAGUUUUGAAGCUGUUAAGUGUGUAUAGAAAAAAUAUUUACCAUGUACUAAAAAAUGUUAAUCUAGUGUUGAAAAAUAUUAAUCAAGCAUUUAAAAAAAUUAAAAAUUGUACUAAAAAUGUUAAUCAUGUAGUAUUAAAAAAUGUUCGAAACGUCAAAUGCUAUCUACUUGUGCAGUUCAAAACAGAAAUAUCAUAGAUAGACAAAGAAAGUGUUCCCAAGUCAUAAUCAGUGGAAUGCUUUUAUCAAGUUCUAGGUCUCUCUCUGUACUAACAACCACAAGGUCUGUCUGGGAUUUUGGAUUGCUAGUUCAGCUUUACUGGUAUGUCUCUCUUUAAAGUAUCUCAAUGUUCUAUUUUUAGUGCACGGAUGAAGUCAUAGUUUAAUAGUUUAUUAGUUGAUUUUUGUUUCAAUCUCAGAGCUGGGGAUCUAGAAAGGUAAUCUUGUAUUUGAAAUAUGUUAAUUAAGCAUCCGAAAAAAUGUUAAAAAAAGAAUUUGAAAAAUGUUAAUCAAGCAUUUGAAUAAUGUUAAAUGAGUGUUGAAAAAUGUUGACUAGGUAUUAAAAAUGUUAAUCUUGCAUUUGAAAAAAUGUUAAUCAAGCUUUGAAAAUGUUAAAUGUGUAUAGAGAAAAUAUUGACCAUGUAUUCAAAAAUGUUAA